UGGACAUUGAGACAUAAAAAUCCUCGUUAGAUUUUUUUUUAAUGCUUUUUCUUCUAUGUUGAAAAAAUGGGUAUUCUUGGAAAAUUUCAGAACGAUAAAUUGUAUUGGUGUGGGUUUUUCAGGAUCAAAUAAUUUUCCUUGCAACAGAAUUUAUUCUAGUAAUUAUUUUCAGCAGUAUUGUUUAGAUAGCAUAUGCUUUUCUCUCCAGAAAUUACUUUAAAGACAUUCUUAGCAUUAGUAAGAAGAUAGUAGGUAGGCAAAUCUAAGUUGGAAAACAGUUGCUAGUCUGGAAGCUCUCUAUUACUCAAUCAGUGAAAUCUCUUCAAGACCCAAAAUAAGACUUUAACCAAUCAAUAAAGUAUUUAUUGAGUACUUUGUGAUGGGCACUGUGUUGACCUAAUGAGAGAAAAAGACCAAAUAAAAAACUGUUCCUGCUCUCUAGGAACUUACUGUUUGUUAUCUAAUGGUUUUUAGGGUAUUUGGAAACUAAAGUGCAUAUUUGAAUGCCAUGGUAAUUAAAGCAACUCAGAUUUCUCUGUUGUAUUGUUGCUAACAGUUUACACUGUUGACAAAAUUAUAUUUCAUAACCAGUUUCCUCUUCUGUAACAUACUUCCUAUAUUCUUAAAUGAUUGAUAUUCAGAUACAAUUUUAAUAUUUUUGGAUAUUUGAGACAAAGCAGUAUUAUCUUUCUGUGUUAUUUCAUACUUCCCACAGUAUGAUAGGAGAGUUAGCAGUAUAGCCACUAAGUUGUGGUAUCCAGGAUAUAAAUUAUGAGCUAUUGAAACAUUUGUGGGGCAGAUUGAAUGCUGUGAAUACAGUUGGUACUGGCAAGUUUUUGGAUGAAUCUGAGAUCACCAAAAUGCUUAUCACAGGAAUAUUAGGCAGCAGGAUUAUGCUUGGUAUCUGGUGUUAACUUGGGGCAUCAUUUUCAGUAUAUGUUUAUUAGUUAUCUUGUCUCAACUUUGUGAAGCAGACAGAGAAGCAGCAUUUUUGGUGGGAAUAGAAAGUUAAUUCCGGGA
rnacentral:lncRNA from 1 species